CUCUAGGAUCGCCACUGACUUAACCACGCCCACUAAGCGUAUCUUAGUCACGCCUUGACGAAUCUCUCCGCCCACAGUCCCGCCCAGCGCUGUUUCCCUCGCCUCUUUCUUUCUCUCUAUUUUUUCCUCCACUGCUCUUCCUACCCAGAAUCCUCCGCGGAAGCCCUACAAUGAAAUUUAAGAAGUUUUUUAGGUUUCGGCGCCAUUUUCGAUUGGACUGAGAGUUUCUAUUUGAAGUGAGAGCCUUUUUAUCGAAUAAAACCAAGGUUGGUAAGAACCUGCCUGCCAUUGGCUGAUCAGGUUAAGAACCGGAGCAAAUCGAACACUUUAGGAGACCAGUGUUUCUGGCUCUGCUGCCUGAAGAAACGACCAGAUUCUAGAUGCUUUGAGGUGAUCUAGCAGCACAUCAUGGUUUGUAGAAACAAGGAGAUACAGACCAUUCUGAGCUGCCUCUUGACCUCAGAGAAAAGCCAAAGCACCCAUGGACGCAUAAACGCAUGCUGGGCUGCACUAAUUGCAUUUAAACUUAAGUUGCAUUAAAUGCAAAUGGAUUUCUAGAUGUGUCUGAUCAGGAUCUGAUAACUUUGCUUUGAUAUUCCCAGUCUUAGAAAAGGAAAUUUGUUCUUUACAAGUAUAUACUUCAAGGGACACUCCCAUCUAACUAUAAUUUUCCCUAGCAGCAGUUUUCACAUUUAUUUUAACUCUAUGGCUGAGAGUUUACAAGAAUUAAAUAUUCUAAUAUGCUUUGAACAUAAAUCUAGUCAUUUUUGUUUUCCCUUGCAGCAUGUGGACAUGAUUGUACUGCCCCAUCUUUUUUCUUCUUUCAGAACGAGGGGUUUUUGAAACAAACUAUCUGUUGCUUAAAUAGUCAUUUUGGGGGUAUAGUUUUCCUUUAAUAUAAUCUUAAAGGGCAACUACUUUGUUCCUCUUUCAGAACUAGGGAAUAGAAGAGUACGAAUUUUCAUUAUUGCAAAGCCCUUAAUAUUUUUUUAAAGGGGCAGCUAUCAAAAAACAAACAUAUAAGCUUUGUGUCAUAGAAUUUAAGGUUAUUGCUCAGAGCUCAAUAGUACAAGUUGAUCCAGGGACUGAUCUGAUUGAAGUCGGAAGGAAUUUUGUUCCCCUCUGAAGCAUAUUGGAGUGGUUUCACAUGUUUUUAUUUGCCUUCCUCUGGAUCAACUAGCAGGCAGGUUAUAUAUAGACUUCAAGUUUUAACUUAAUAGGCGUGGUUUUUUUUUUUUUUUUCAACCUAAUUUACAUUUGCAUAUAAUUUAAGAAAAUUUAUUCAAACUCGCUCACUUAACAGCCCCAGCACAGGCAAAAUAACCAAUUUCUACACUUUGUAAGUACCACUCAGAGUACAGAGAUGUGAGAGUCUAGUGACAGUCCAAGGCAGCCCACGAAAGAACACAGAGCUGACUCCUGCAUGAAUGAGCAUGGAGAGAGAGUGAUGCUGAAAGGGAUAAUGAAGAUUCAUUUGCUUAUUACAGGAUCACUACAUAACUUUCUAAAUAUUAAAAUUUAUUUCAGCAACAUUAAGCUGAUUUUAACAUUUUCACUUGCAAUACUUUCCCUUUAAGUAUGUCAGACGUAUUUUGCAUGAUAGAAUUGCUUUAAGUUAUCACAGAUACAGGUUUCCUUUGGCUGUUUAAACUGUUGUUUAUAUUUAACUGUAUCAAAUGCAUUUAGUAAAAGAUUUUACAUGUGUUCUAGCAAUCCUGCUUUAGCAGCACGUAAAUACUGGAGUCCAUGACUAUAUCUGCACUCUCCAGUAUUACUUUGCUGCUAUAUUAAGAUUGCCAUAAGCUGCACAAGAAAAUAGGAAAUGUAUUCCAAGGCCUCAAACUAACAGGGAAGUAAUGCUGUUACACACUACUAAUAAUUAGGAGCAGAUUUAUUAAGGGUUGAAUUGUAAAUUUGAAUUUUCGAGUUGUAAUUUUGGUCAAAACUUGAAAAUUCGAGUUGGGAAUAAUUCAAAUUUGAUAUUUAUCAUAUGUGGACCCCUGGGAACAACUCGAUUUCAACUAUUUACCACCUAAAACCUGCAGAGGUCCAGUGACCCAUUUGAAGAUUUUAAUAGCCUUCCUGACAUUCGAGUUUAGUGGAUUUACGCCCUCAUUGUUGCUUCAAUCUCUUGUCAAUUAACUAAAUCCCAUCAGAAUCAUAAAAUCACUGUAGCUAAGGAGUUUGGGAUGAUUAUCCCAAAUUUGUGGAAAUGAGAAGAGAAUGUUUUGAUUGCUUCACAAACGCCAACAUUACAAGAGAAUCUGAAAUCUUACUAUGGGAGAUUUGUCACCUGAAGGAGUCAUGUGCAUGCAACCUUAAAGGAUCAGUAACAUCAAGUUUUUUAAUUAAAAAAAUUUGUUAGUGUACAAAAAAAAAAACCACAAAGACAUAUUAAACUUUUAAAUCGCUUCGUCUUUAUUAAGAAAUAACUUGCCAUAACCAACCCGCUUAAUCAAAUCUGGAAAAACAAACAACAUCACAAAUAUAUCAAACAAUUGGAACACUAAUUGAAAUGGAAAACAAAGGCCGAGCUUUGCAUGGACCACCGAAAUUCCAAAUACUACAACCCCUGAAAUGUUAAAACGGCACACAAACAUUAUGGAGCUACUUCCAGUAAGCAGAUAUCAAGAAAUGACUCUACACAUACUUCAUAAUUCUUACUUAACGCCAAUCAGGAGCUACAAAAUGGGAAAUCUGCCCUCUGAUGGCUGCCUCAGAUGCCAAUCUGCUAGAUUAUACUUCAAUAUUGCACAUUGAAAAAUAAUCCAAAAAUAUAUAAUGCCCCCUAAAGCUGCUAGCCAAUAAAUCACCAUUGUUUCUUAAAAUAGAGGGACCUCCCAGGAAUAUAAUAGAUUAAACACAAUGUAUAAAUGUAUAUUUCUAUAUUGAUUUGUUAAUUGAACCCUUUGUUCUUGUUACAACCCCCCCUCCUGGCCCCCCAAUGGGGUUUUUUUUUACGAUCAGGUUGAAUUCUCCUUUAAGACACAUUCAAUAGCCCAUUUACUAAUACAAUCAUAGCACUGUGUUGGAACAGAGCAUUCACGGUCAGAGCCUGGGGUCUUAGGCGAGUGUCUUUACUGGAAUCCAUAUGCAAAGAGUUUGUAUCUUGUCAGUAAAAAUCAUCCACUGUUUGUAUAUACUGCGUGUAGAACUUAAAGAGUGUAAGACCCACUGGGGCAGGGGCAUGACUUGUUUAUAUGGAUGAUGAUGUGAUCAAUUUAUAGUUGUGCAGAAUAUGUUGGCUUUUUAUAAAUAAAGAAUUAUACAAAUAA